AGUUUAGUGGUUUUGUGGUUUGAAUGUUGGACUACAACUCUAGAAACCAGGGUUUGAAUCCCUGCUCGGCCA